rnacentral:lncRNA from 1 species
GGAGUUGCUGGAAGUAAGACUCAGAAGCACAUCAGGACCCCUAAGACUGUGACCCCCAGGAGUUUCUCACUCUCUAAUUAGUUCACAUUCACCUCCAGAAAUUCAUCAAAAUUAUCAUUUUACUGUUUUUACCAGUUGUUGACUCCAGCAGCUUCUGCUUCAGUAAAUCUUACUGCUGCUCACUUUUUGGGUCCACACUGCGUUUAUUAGCUGCAACGCUCACCGCUAUGGUCUGCAGCUUCACUCCUGAAGCCAGCGAGACCACGAACCCACCAGAAUGAAGAAACUCCGAACACAUCCAAACAUCAGAAGGAACAAACUCCGGACAGGCGGCCUUUAAGAACUGUAACACUCACCUCGAGGGUCUGCGGCUUCAUUCUUGAAGUCAGUGAGACCAAGAACCCACCAAUUCCGGACACAAUGUUACUCCAGAUAAUCAGCGCCAUUUUCUGAAGCUUGAGAUGCAGGAAAAGAGGAGUGCUAUCCAUUAGAUGGAGACAGGAAGUAGAAAAAGAGCUUAAAGUUUUGGCUUGUGUUACUUCCUUGGGGAGAUCUUGCUGGACCACAUCAGGAAUAGGAGGGGUGUGUCCCCACAGCACUGUGUACACGAUUGUCCUGGAAUGCCCCACCAGCAUCAAUGACUUGGUUCUCUUCCCUGGCCCUGAAGGAGUGGGCCACUUUCCAGACACGUCCCAGGCAGCAGUCCUGCUCCGUGACACUGUCAAGAAGAGAGGAGCCUCAGGAAAAGUCACAGACAUAAACAAGAUAAAGCCUGUGACCUUCUAGGACACUUUGGCCUGUGGACCACAGAACUGUCAAUGGCCCAGCCCUUGCUCUGAUAAGGGAGGGCAGGAACAUUCCAGGAGAUGCAUUUGUCUCAAGCCCUCAAAGGCUGAGCAUCCCCGAGAAUCUGGCAGAGAGAGAGAGGACGGGGGAGGCUGGUGGGAGGAUCUCUCCAGGGCGUGGAGCCAGCCCCACUGCCCUUGCUAUCCCUUCAGCCCAGAUAUGGGGCAAGAAAUUCAGGCCAACUCAGCAAACAUGUACCUGGCAGCUCCUUCCUGCCUGGCACUGCUAGGGGCAGAGUGCUGGAGGAGAUGGGAGGGCAAGGAUCCCAGGUUGCAGGGGCUCAGAAAGGUGGAGGGAGAUGUGGAUAUCAAUUGCCUGCAUGGAAAAUGAGGGGACAAAGGACAGGCUUUAGUGCUCUGAGGAAGGAGGCAGUCAUUCUGUCUGAGGUUGUGGGAGUCUAGGAAUAUUUAUUUCCUAGAGAACGAGGCCCCUAAGUAGGCCGUAAAGUUAACCAUGACUUUGACAGGUGGAGGGGUCAGAGGAGAGCAUUCCUGGCACAGAUUGGUAUGUUCAAAAGCAUGGAGGAAGACAAUUGCAGAUGUGUUUCAGUUCAUGCAAAGGCCCCUGGAAGGUUGCAAUGGAAGAUGAAGCUAGAAAGAUCAGGGCUGCAGUAGGAGGGGCCUUGACUCCCUGGGAAAGGGUGUGAAACUAUCCUAUAGGAAUAGGAGCCAGGGCUGCCUCUCCGGUAGGGCAGAAACAGUACCAGCUGGGCUUCACAUGGAGGAAGGAGGGGUGGAAGGGGAGCAGACAGGGCCAGUGGAGGGGAUGUAAUAUUCCAAGUUAGAGGUGGUGAGGCCUGAAUUCCGGUAGCAGCCAUGGGAUUUCUGGAAAAAGUUGCAGAUUGUUUUCUUGCUCCUCUUUUAAGACAGUUAUUAGCAGCUGUGGGGCCACCUGAGUGUGUACUGAGCACUUGGGAAACAGGUCCUGAACCAGAAAGAGUGUCCAGGUACAAGUCUACAUCCCAUACCUUGUCAGGCAGAAGUUAGUAGGAAACCCUGCAGCCCAGCCAGAUAAAGGCGUGGCUUCCAGAAUGCCCUGGAACUGCCUGGGUGAUCCUUUUAAAACAUGAAUAUAAACAUGUCUUCAUCCUCCUUAAAACCCUUCGCUGUUUCCACGUCACUCUCAGAAUGAAGUCCAAGCUCUUUGGCUUGGUGUUUAAAGCUUCAUCAAGCCUGUGCUUAUACCUCUGUCAUCCCAUCUCUGUAGUGUAGGGCAGGGAUCCAAACACUUGUCUGCAUGUUCAAAUUCACCUGGAGAUCUUUUAGAAUGUCUAAAGCACAGCCCAGCACCCAGACCAAUUAAACCACAAUUUCUGGGAUGGGACCUAGUUGCUCAGGUGACCCCAGAGAAGCUAGAAACCCAGGUAUAGGGCCUACAUCCUAAGCUCCAGUCAUACCAGAUGUAUUAGCUAGCUGUUUCCAUCACAGACCACUUCAAAUUCGUGGUGGCUUACAAAAAAUAUUGAUUACCAUGCUCACAGAAAUGCAGAUCAUCUGUGAUUUGGCAGGUAAAUGCUGGUGGCAGUUCUGCUUCAGGCUUCGGGGUCAGCUGGGGUUGACUCUAGGCUGACUCUAGACAUUGCAUUCUAGACAUUGCAUUGAGGGAAUUCUACAGAUCUCUCAUAUUUCUGGGAGCUACAUCUUUCCCUGCAGCAAAUUUUCAAGGUAUUGAUAGAAGUGCACGUGCCCCUUAAGAUCUUAGAUUUUAGCUGGCAACCCCUCACUUAACUCACAUCCCAUUGGUCAAAACAAGUCCCAUGGUCAAGGCCAACAAUGAUGGGGCAGGAAAACAGACUCUGCUCACUCUCCUGUUCUGCAAGUCACAUGGCAGGAAGGAGUGAGGAACUAGAAUAAUCCACUCCAUCUCACAGGUAAUCUUGUGACCUUGAAUGGGUCGCGUCUAUGAACCCCAGUUUCCUUACCUGGAGAAUGAGAUAGUUGCCCUGGAUGCCCACUUACAUGACCGCCCCUCCCAGCUCUUCUCAUCCACAAAGACCUUUGCACAUGUAUGCACAGCCACCCACUUGUGCCCAUACUACACAUUUAAAUCAUGACUAUUAUUUUUAAAUACUUGUUGAUUUUCAAAAUGCUUCACAUACUCACACAGGCCAUAUACUCAUCUGCAGAUACAGAUCCUUGCAUUCUCAGUCCUACACAUACAUAUAUACUUACUUUUCAAACACACACGUUUAUGUGCACAUGUUCCCACAUUUAUACAAAUGCACACAGAGGCACCUAUGUGCCGGUGUGCACUCGCUCAGCCAUACUCACACAUGCCACAUGGAUUCUCAGACAUGUUUAGUUACAAACAGUCUCCCCCACCCUUCUCACCCUCACACACUGGCUCACUCACACAUAUAUUCUAUACCUCUCCGCACAGCUGUUUAAUCAGAAUCAGGGCCUGCUGAUGAGGCUGUUGUCUGGCGCUCAGGGAGCUGCUUUAACUCUUUGCUGCCCCCAUAAAGGCUGGCUGUACUAUGUGCCCUCCAUCUGCAGACCCCGGGGAACAAAAAGGCCACAGAAGAGUCAGGCGGAGAUGCUUAAUCUGCAGGAUUGGAGCUCAUCUGGUGCCACAGGGCCAGGGAGAGGGUGCAGAAGACACAGGGACAGACAGCACUCUGGACCCUCUGAAUUCACUCUGUGCUUUCUCCUCCUGGCUGCAUCUCCCUCAUGUCCCAGGUAUCUUCAGUAGGAUAACCAAAAAAAAAAAAAAAAAAAGAAUCAUCCAAACCAAGACAGUGUUGAGAGCGAAAGGGACACUAACAACAAUUACACUGAAUUACCUGAGAUUGUCACAGGCAAGCAGCAAAUGCCUGGUCCCUACUCAUGAGAGACCAGAUAUUGUGGACUUGCCCUGAGCUCCUGUUUCAGCCCAACUCAAGGACAGUCCCGGUUGAAAGGAACUUUCAGGUAGAAUUCCCUCAUUUUGCAGUUGAAGGCCCAGAGAGAAGCUGGGACUUGCCUGAGGUGACACAACAAGUUAGUAACAAAACAGUGUAUAGAACUAAGUUUUUCAAUCUUCCAGGCUAGAGUUCUCCGUGGUCUUAGGUGCAGCUCCUGGGAAACUGGCUGAAACUGUGGGAUUAGCAUGCAAGGGUUCACUGAGGAGUACUUGAGGAAAGAAAGCAGGACAGAGCAGAGGGACAGCAGCCUCAGCAGAGGUCAUGGGGAGCUCUGGAGCUGAGAGGGUUCUUCAAGGUUGUCCCAAAUGAAUCUAUGGGCCGAGGCUUUGUGCCUCCAGCGAGAGGACGUGAUGUUGGGUGGGGCAGUACCCUGCAGCUGAGAGCAACCCCCAGGGAGGGAUGCAACAGCCUGUCAACUAAGGGAGACAGUGCCUUGGUCCUCCAGGGGAGGUGGGCAGCACACCAUGGCAUCCACCACAUCCUGCUGUUAGCUUGUGUUAAACAAGCUACCUGCAGCCCCAGCCCCCCAGAGGCCUGUUUGUACCUGGGCAGCAGUUGUAUUGGCAUUCAUUUCACUGGCUCCACAGGGGGUCCUGGAAGGAAAUUGCUGGGGAGGAGGCCACCUGGCUGAGGCUGCUCCUGAGACUGACCAGUGCGUUCCUUGUGGAGCCCGAGCUUCCUGCCAGCCCCAGCACGGCCAUCUCUGCAGCUUUGCAGCUGCAUUCUUCACACCCAUCAGAAGUCACUGUUGCUUACUUUAUUUUUCCACUUCUUCGAUCCUUCUACAUGUGGUCCAAGGGAGUUUCCUGUCUAACUCAGCCAGGGAACAGGGGCAGCUAGCAGAGAGCCAAAAGGGGGCACCUGGGCAUGAGUUAAGAGGGCAUCUGUGGCAAGCCCAUUACACAGCUAAAGAGAACAAUCUCAAUGAGAAGACUCAGGCUUCUUUAUGAAGGAGGGACACAUUUCCCAUGGGCUGUGGAGUCCAGCAAUCCUGACUUCCAGUCUUAGCUCUGCUGCCUACCUACGGAGGCACUUUACACACACUUCCAGGCGUGAAAAAAAAAAAAUUUCAGCAAAUUAAAUUUAACAAAGUUUAGUUGAGCCAAGAACUAUUCGCAAAUCGAGCCCCCUCAGAACCAGGAAACGGAACGGAAGUGAGGCACAGCAACAGCUUCACUGGUUACAGCUCAGCAUUGGCCGUAUUUGGAUGUGGUGUGAUGAGUUGACUGCCCGUGAUUGGCUGAACCUCAGCAUCUUGUUAUUGGCUGAGACACAACUACUUGUCACAAAAAAUGCAUACUCCUAAAUUAGGCUUUUAUUCUGUUUACGUACUAAGUAAGGUGCAGUUUGUUAUGUAAAUACUCAAGGUACUGAGGCAUCUUCAGGCCAACUUUAGUUAAAUUUAACACAAGCUACCUAGAACUUAGGGAUGGCUCUCUAUAUACAGUAGAGCAUUGUAAGAAUGUAAUGAGGUAACCUGGGAAUAGGAAAGGGAUCUGCAACGUGCCAGCACUCUGCUAAGCACGCAGCACCCACAGCCUCCCUUAUCCCUAUCACAAGCCUGCAAGGUGAGUACCCAGGAUCCCAUUUUACAGAUAAACAAGCUUGCCCCAGGGCCCAGAUCCAAGCUCAACCUGACAUUGUAUGAUUGGUUGCCAGCAUUCUCUGCAGAUUAGUCUUGACAAGGGCCAGUUUCUUACUCCAGUAAAGCAGGAAUUAAAAAGAAAAUAAAAAAAGAAAACACUGGAGCAGUGCUUGACAUUUCACUAUGUUUCCAUCAUAUUGGGUGAAGGCAUCAAGAAGAGCAAAAAUCCUCCUCCUUAAAAACUCAAGAAUUUCAGUGCCAAAAAAAUGACUGUGGAAUUUUUCCAUAAACACACACACACACACACACACACACACACACACACACACACACACACACACACACACACCGUGUUAGUUUUUUCCUGAGGAUCCUGCAGAAUUGCUUUUCACAAAAGACGGCUAACAGCACAGAGCUCUUCUGGAGAGCAGAUUAAAUGAAUUGUCCAGUUUUGGGUGGAAGGCUGUCCAACUUUCCCAGUCAUCAGUGGAAUGCUGGCUGGGUUGAUGUAGGGGUUACUUGGGGGUUAUUGACAACUCCCCAAAUGAGUCUAGCAAACUCGUUUGUGCCAGGCUUCAACUAGGGAGCUCACAGUCUCCUGGGGAAAAUGGACAUAAAAACAGGAAAUUACAAUAUGUAAGUAAUAUUAUAACAAGAAGUAAUAGAAUCAAAUACAAAGUCCCCAGAUAACUUGGAGGUGGUGUCAGCUCUGUCGUGGAGGCUCAAGGAAGAUUUGCUGAAAGAAGUAUCACAAAUCCAGGUUUUGAAGGAUGAACAGGAGUUUUUAGGAGCUACCACCUACUUUUAAUGAUUUUUCUAUUUAGAGAGUGGAGAAAAGAAAGAAGAGGAAGGGUGCUUACAUGUACUACAUGCUAUUUGCCAGACUGCAUUCGACACUUUGCACGUUUGCACAUUUAAUUCUCACGAUAACCUUGUCAGAUGGGGUUUUCACAGGCAAGAAACUUAGGAUCAAAAAGGGUAAGCUGAGCAAUUUACUCAAGGUCACACAGCUACCAAGUGCUGGGGCCAGAAAUCCAUCCCAGUUCUUUUGGCUCCAAAUCCCUGGCUCUUUCCCUGCUGCUGGCUUCUGUAGCCCAUAGGAGCUGUACAUUCAUGGAGUUUAUCUGUGGCAUACUGUGCAGUUUUUGAGUUGGUUAGAAUAAUGUAAAAUCAUUAGGAACUGAUUUAGCAACUGGUCAUAUCUACAGUCAACCCUACAAAAUUCCCUCAUCUGUUCACAGAAACUAUAAGUCUUCAAAGUACUGUCCCAUCUACCCAUUCCUCAGCCCAGCCCUGCAACUUGAACAGGAAGGUCCAUUGCCUGGUAAGUCAAGAGCAGAGCCAGGGGAACUAGAAUCUUCAAUUUCUUGGUUCCCACUGCAGGGCUCUAUGAGUGACACUAUGUUAUACGUAUCUUGUCCCUUUCAUAUCUCUGGUGCUGUAAGGAAGUACCUUCAGGUACUCCAGAUCCUGGGUACCUUCUGUAUCCUCCUUAACAUAAAGUCACUUAACAUAGGACUGAGAUUGAGUGUAUUUCUUUUCAUAAAGAGGUGUGGCUUGAAUUCCUGUGCUGACCACUCCUGACUUGUGUGACCUUGAGCCAAGUUACCUAACCCUUUAGACUUUAAAUCAUCUGAGAAAUAGGGCCAUAAGUUUGGAGAAGUCCUACCUUUGUACAAAAUAACUGGGGCGAUGUUUCGGCACUUACUGGGUACACAAAAUACCUGGUACUUACUAGGUGCUCAGUAGAUGUGAGUUUACUUUCCUUUAUCCUUUGAAGAGCUGUACCUGUGUCCAGGGUUAACCUCACUCCAUCAGGACCUAGACAUCCCUACAAAAUUAGGGAUUUUACUUCCCUUUGUGGUAAUUAACUAUAUAUUGUACAUUCUAUAUCCAAAGUCACAGAGCAGAUCCACAGUUUUCAAACUGGGUUCGAAGAAGCCCUGAGGUCCUGCGAGGCGGUUCAAGGGUGAUGGAUGUCAGUGGUCAGGCCUUCAGACCACCCCCUCCCAAUUCAACAAAGGCAGAAUCUCUUUUAUAUCUUUUAUAUGUUGGGCUCUCAAGUAGAAUUUCAUUUUAAGAAUGAAAUUGAGUGUUGAAAAUAGAAAAUUGCAAACCUCUGUUGGAGAGUAAUAGAAAGUUUAAUGUGUGAUCUUUGCAUUGCAAACCAGGUUGCUUUCUCCCUUAUGUCUCUUCCCUCCUCGUCUUUUUUUUUUUUUUUUUUUUUUUUGAGAAGGAGUCUUGCUCUGUCCAGCAGUGGUGCCAUCUUGGCUCACUGCAACCUCCACCUCCCAGGUUCAAGCAAUUCUCCUGCCUCAGCCUCCUGAGUAGCUGAGAUUACAGGCACAUGCCACCACCCUCAACUAAUUCUUGUAUUUUUAGUAGAGGUGGGGUUUCACCAUGCUGGUCAGGCUGAUCUCGAACUCCUGACCUUGUGAUCUGCCUGCCUCGGCCUCCCGAAGUGCUGGGAUUACAGACAUGAGCCACCACGCCCAGCCCCUCCUGGUCUCCUUAAUGACAAAAGCCCAGCUUCUACCCUGCUCACUGCCCCACCCCCAACAUUCAGACCAGUCACAAGAAGGAAAACCAGUUAACAAGGACCUGGAGAAGCUACAACGUACUUGGACUUCCAGUCUUUAAAUGGACCGUUUUUGUCUCAGCCUGGCUAGGAAGUCUUGGCUGAUGUGGUCUAGAGACAGGAAAGCAAGGUAAUUUGGGGCCUAAAAUGACAAAAUGAGGGCAGAGAAAAGUGUUGAAAAUGAAUGACUGCGGAAAGGAAAGAAAUAUUCUGACAUGCUCCUCUUCCUAUCUGACACCCAGUGAGAUGGAGAACACGUUGACUUUGGAGCCAAGAAAGCUGAGUUCAAAUUCUGAGCCUGCCCAAUGUGUAACUAUGUGAUCUUGAACAAGCCAUUAACUCCUUCCAGUCUUAUUUCCUCAUCUACAGAAUGGGAAUAGUAUUGCUGUCACAGGACUAAUAUGAGUGUAUAUCACAUGUAUGUAAAAAGCAUAUGUGAGAUAUUGAAUGAAAAACAAUUGAUGCCUGCUAGAUGUCACUGAAUAAACAUCAGUCCCCCUUCUCCAUCCAGCUACCAUAUUUUCCAGCCCAUACAUUGAGACACUGGGUUAUGGUAAAUAUUGAAUUAAAUGAUGUAAAUCAAUUCCUAAUGCAACUCCUGGCACACAGUAGGUGUUUAAUAAAUGCUAUCUUCUCCACAAGCUUCCCUCCUUCUGCACAACAUAUUUGCAGCAACUGCCAUCCUGAUCACCUCAUGCUUGGGUUACUAACUCAGCCCCCCUAGUGGGGUCCCCUGUCCCAGAGCCCUGUUCCUGUCUCCCUGGCAUGUGCAGUCACCCUAAUCUUCCCCUAAACAAAUGAACAAAGCAAGACAAAUGGCAAAGCUCCACUAACAACAAGCUAUUCAGUUCCAGCAUUAUCUGAUUUAAUUCUCCAUUUUUGUUUCAGAUCAAUCUGUAAGAUCAGUGUUAAUAGCUCUCCCUACCCCUUGUAAUGAUAAUCUCAGGCUCAAAGAAGUAAGCAAUUUCAGCUCCUCACCUUUGUGGGGGCGUAGCUAAGGUGUGAGAUCCCAUCAGAUCUGUCUGCAACCAAAGACUCUUCUGCAACAUUAACUGUUCUCUGAAGUGGUCUGGCUGGGCACUGAGAGUGGAGAGACCUGGAUUCUAGCGCUGGCUCACCAUUGGUUCAUGGCGCAUGAGCCCAUUUCCUCCUCUAAAAAUGAGGAGAGUCCCUUCCUUUCUUACCCCAUAUGUCUGCACUCAGGUUUCAGGGCCAAUUUCAGAUGGGCCAUAUGCUCUCUGUCCUCUGUACCUUUGCCCAAGCUGUCGCCUGCUCCUCAGUCACCUCCCUCAUUGCCCUGUGUCUACCUGUUUAAGAAUUAAGCUCUAAGAUUCUACUCUAUCAUCCCUCACCUCCUUCAGAAAGCCUUCCUAGACCAGCCCAGGCAGAAUCAGGUGCUCCUCCUCUAGGCUUUCAUAGCCCUGCAUCUAAACCACAACUGUGACCUUUUUUUCCUGGUAUAUACCUUUGAUUAUAGGACUGUCUCCUAGUAGAUAGACUGGGAGCUCUCGUUUAUCUCAUUUAUCUUUAUACCCAUGUCUGUCACAGAAUAAUUGCUCAGAUAAUACUUGUGGAAUGAAUGCAUUAAUGAAUGAAUGAAGAGAGAGAGCAAGGGAGAUCGAAAGAGCAUCAUUGAAUGAGUUCAGGGUUUUGUUCGGUCCCAGCUUCAGAGUCCAUUUCUUAAGAAUAAUUAAUUCUUGCAGUUCUUCCACUGCUGACGUUGUGCCUCCAUGGGGGUCAAUGGCCCUAUGCCCUAGCAUCUUAUCCCUAUACCAUGUAAUCUGGGUCUGAUGCUGGAAUUUGGGCUUAGAGCUUGGCUCCAAGUCUCUGUGACAGGGCUCUGCCCUGCCUCCAGCCCCCAUCCAGGACAUGGGCCCUCUCUUACCCUGGCCAGCCUGUUUCAGGCCAAGGAACUCCAUUCCUCUCCCCAGCUCCUGUUCUCUCCCUCUCACCUGCUUCCCUGGCUGGUGAUAGGGCCUGCCUCCUGCCCAUCAGGGCUUCUUAGAUUACAACUAUCAGCCUAAUUUCCCCACUUCUGUGUCCCACCCACUUACUAGGUCAGCCUUCCCACUAUAGUUGGGAGAUGGUGACAUCCUCAUGUGUCAGGCUUUUCCUGAUAUCGGGAGCCCCUCAUGUCAGCUCCUAUCCCUGGGUCAGAUGCCCUGACAUAUGCCCAGCCCUUCAGACAGCUCCAGGUCAGUGUCCAAUCCCUUUCUGCCUGCCAGGGAGCAUCUGGACAUGCCUAGCCAAAUCCUGAGAUGGGCUGGGAGGAGGCAGUCAGCCCUGGAGAUCAUUUCCAGUGAAGGCCCAGCCUGCAGGUGGGCACACAUGGUGGGUGUUCAGGUUUGAGGAGGCCUUGGAAAAUGAAAGAUCGCAUGUGGUGCAAACCUCAGGCUAUGUGCCUUUGGACAACUCAUUUUAUCCCUCUGUGCCAAAGAGUUUUUGUUUGCAAAUUGGAGAUAAGAACACAUAAUAGCUACCUCAGAGGACUGUUGUGAAGAAUAAAUAGGAUAAUGCAUAUCAACCUCAAGGCCUGGUACAUGAUGAGCCCUCAGUAAACGUGAGCCCUUUUCCAUGUCACUAUAGCUGUUGUCAUUAUUGCUCUUGUUGCUGCUAUUGUCAUUAAGAAGAGUGGGCUGCAUCCUCAGGUACAUCUCCUGUGCUGUUUCUUUUCCUCAAACCACUCAUUAAUAUUCUGAAGACUAAGUCAGGGAGGCAGUAGCAACACACCAGGCUUAAAAUUAAUCAAGUUCCCUUCAGUCCAAAUGAACUUUUCUCACCGAUUCUCAGAUCUUCGGCAUCUUGCUACUGGGUGCAUUUUUUCUACAUAAUGAAGUUUGGGCAGUGCUGGCUCCUGCCUAGUCCCUGACUGUGACCUCCAUGCAGUCACAGCUGUUCUCAGGCGCUGCGCUUCAAGUUCCCCACCCCACAUCGUCUGGCUGCCUUCUCAUCUGGGGUGAUGCGACCCCAGCAGAUUAAUAUGAUGUCCUUGUAAUUCUGCAUCCAAGACACAUGUCACUUUCCUUCAACACAUUUGGAAGGAGGGCAAGUUCUACUUUGUAAGGACCGUCACUUAUUUUGAACUGGAAGAAAAUAAUUUAUUUGGUCAAAAGUUGUUGUGCUUUUCCAUUAAGGGCACAUAUUACCCUUUUGUAAUUGGAAAUGGGGCCAUUUAGAUCCCACAUCGUCUAAUCUCCAAAGUCACUCCAGCACAGGGCUUUCUUCCUCAUUUGAUUUCAAUCAAUCAGUGAAUCCAACAACGAAGAAAAUGCAUUCAAAAAUUAACCAUACCAAGUGAAAGCAGAGGAACGUAUGUUAGCAGGAGUCUCCCAACUCAGGUGUUUCUGUAAGAACCAUUAAAAUACCCCUUAUCUGAGUGGAAAUUCAUUUCUUUCUACUAUAGGAAGACUCCAAGACACUCACUCUAAGACUUGGGCCUGGAUCUAUGUGCAGAAACCCUGCUGAACUUUGCAGUGUCACCCGCCACCCAACUAAGAGGGUCUCCCAGGAUUGUUUUCUAGUUCCCAGUCUGGGCUGUCUGACAUGGCACCCCAACCUGGGUACACAUCUUAGAGGCUCGGCUUUUUGUCAGUGGCAAACUGGAAAUUUCACCACUUAAAUGGAACCACGAAAUCUUAGGCCUUGGGAGAGUAUGUCUGCAGGGCCAUCUUGGUGUGCACCUCUCACUGACCAUUUUCAACAGAUGCCAGAUUCUUGGAUCUGGGAGGGUGGCCCUAGUCCCCAUCUUCAGGCUGUGUUAAAUGGUGAGCUUGAAGGCCAAAGAAAACUGCUUCAGACUUUGAUACCUUAUCAGUAUGACUCAGGGAAGAGAGAGGUUAAGUAACUUGCUCAGAAUCACACAGGUAGUAACUAGCAAAAUUGGACUUUGAAUCCAGGUUUGCAUGACUUUAUAUUAUGCUUUUCUGCAAUGCUGCUGCCUGGAAGGCAGGCUUAGUGCUGCUGAGAUCCUGGUAGAUAUCUGCUUUCCCCAAAGCGGUGAACUUUGCAGGCUACCGCCAGAUCUAUGCCAUCUGCUCACUUCCGAGGGGCUUCUUCAAAUCCCACCAGGUGACCUUAAUGUCCCAAAAUAUUCUUGACACUGAAGCACUCACUUGCAAAGAAAAGCUGGACCCCAACCCCUGUAUUGGACAGACCCUACAGGAAGUUUCCUUAAUAGCCUAAGGAGCAGAGACAGAAAAUGAAAAAUCACUAAGGUAGUGGUAGGCUUACAUCCCAGGGAGGGAGUGCCAUGGCGCACACCUCCUGCAUGGGCUAGGGUUCGCAUUUGUGUUUAAUAACAACUUUGAUCUCUCUGCCAGCAGCAGCGGUCAUUGAGAAAUCCUGACAUAAAGAAGGAAAUGCAGAUGAUAACUCCUGCCUCCAGACCCCUCUCUGAGAUGAUUCUGAGACACAUAUAAAUGGGCUUUGCAAACUGUGGGCAGUAGAUGUGAGAACUCUUCAUCUUCCAGACAGGAUCCAAGGUCCUUUGGAAGGGACAGUGAGCGGACUGCAUCCUGCUUGCAUGAAGACCCUGAUUCCCUCAAAUGUUGAAAGAGGUUGAAUUUACAAAUAAAUUAA